GCAAGCUAAAGGCAGAGCCAAUAGACCAGAAGCAACUACCCUGACCCCCAGGGCCACACCUCUCCUUCCUCACUGCUUGGUGGAUGAGCUGCCAGGUCCUGCCAAUCCCUACUGCCCUCCUGCACUGAAAGGAGCCUCCUUGGGAGCAAAUGUCCUGCCACCCCUCUCUGAUCUGCCCUGGACUCCUUCCUGGUGACCUCUGGCUCCAGCCAGAUCACACAGAAGUGCCAGAGCCAGUCCCAUGAAUCCAGAACGAAACACUUCAUGGGGGCCCACGGCUCCUGCCACAAGAAAGGAGGGCCACAUUCUGAUUUCAGAGCUGCCAGCCCCCUGUGUGAAAGUCUGCUUUUGUACUUCAUAUGUAUCUAUAUCUAGCCAUGAAUAAUAUAAGAUACUGUUUUGUGGGUAUUUGUAAAUAGAUGGUUUUCAUAUACAAUAGAUCACUCUGAAGCUUGCUUUUUAAUUCAACAUUAUGCUUUUAUGUUUAUUUGAUUCGGUAAUCAAAAAUCUUCCAACAAAGAAAAGCACAGGACUCAACAGCUUCACUGGUGAAUUCUACCAAAUAUUUAACAACAACAACAACAACAGGAAACAGGGUAGCCGGCCCUCACUUCAGAGCACUCGGCCAGUCUACUUAAACCACUCUGUAUGAAGCUGGCGCCCAGAGGAGAGGGACGGCUCCCGUGAGAUGUCAGCUCUCCAGCUCCCUGCCUCGGGGAGGCGAGGACAUUUGACUGUCCAUACCGCAU
rnacentral:lncRNA from 1 species